rnacentral:rRNA from 1 species
CAGCAUGGUCUUAGCUUGCUAAGACUGAUGGCGACCGGCGCACGGGUGAGUAAGCGUAUCCAACCUUCCCCUUAGUAGGGCAUAGCCCGGCGAAAGUCGGAUUAAUACCCUAUGUUUUCCGUUGAGGACAUCUGAAGUGGAACAAAGAUUCAUCGCUAAGGGAUGGGGAUGCGUCUGAUUAGGUUGUUGGCGGGUAACGGCCACCAAGCCAUCGAUCAGUAGGGGUUCUGAGAGGAAGGUCCCCCACAUUGGUACUGAGACACGGACCAAACUCCUACGGGAGGCAGCAGUGAGGAAUAUUGGUCAAUGGGCGAGAGCCUGAACCAGCCAAGUAAGCGUGCAGGAUGACGGCCCUAUGGGUUGUAAACUGCUUUUGUACGGGAAUAAAGUGAGGGACGUGUCCCUUUUUGUAUGUACCGUAAGAAUAAGGACCGGCUAAUUCCGUGCCAGCAGCAGC